rnacentral:rRNA from 1 species
GGAUGAACGCUGGCGGCGUGCUUAACACAUGCAAGUCGAGCGAAGCGGUUUCAAGGAAGUUUUCGGACGGAAUUGAAAUUGACUUAGCGGCGGACGGGUGAGUAACGCGUGGGUAACCUGCCUCAUACAGGGGGAUAACAGUCGGAAACGACUGCUAAUACCGCAUAAGCACACAGUGCCGCAUGGUACGGUGUGAAAAACUCCGGUGGUAUGAGAUGGACCCGAGUCUGAUUAGGUAGUUGGUGAGGUAACGGCCCACCAAGCCGACGAUCAGUAGCCGACCUGAGAGGGUGACCGGCCACAUUGGGACUGAGACACGGCCCAAACUCCUACGGGAGGCAGCAGUGGGGAAUAUUGGACAAUGGGGGAAACCCUGAUCCAGCGACGCCGCGUGAGCGAAGAAGUAUUUCGGUAUGUAAAGCUCUAUCAGCAGGGAAGAAAAUGACGGUACCUGACUAAGAAGCCCCGGCUAACUACG